UGGUGUGUGUGUGUCAAGGUGUGUAUAUCUGUGUGUCAAUGUGUAUCUGUGUGUGUGUGUGUGUAUGUAUCUGACACACAGGCACAUAGUGGCACACAGAUACACAUACCUUAAAACACAGAUACAAA